rnacentral:rRNA from 1 species
CAGUCGCCGCGGUAAUACGUAGGUGGCAAGCGUUGUCCGGAAUUACUGGGCGUAAAGCGCACGCAGGCGGUCUGACAAGUCAGAUGUGAAAUCCCCGGGCUUAACCUGGGAACUGCAUUUGAAACUGUCAGGCUGGAGUCUUGUAGAGGGGGGUAGAAUUCCAGGUGUAGCGGUGAAAUGCGUAGAGAUCUGGAGGAAUACCGGUGGCGAAGGCGGCCCCCUGGACAAAGACUGACGCUCAGGUGCGAAAGCGUGGGGAGCAAACAGGAUUAGAUACCCGUGUAGUCCCUGUCUCUUAUAC